CGAACUAUUCGAGAGAUUUUCGAGGAGGCUGUUCCUGUGGCGCGCAAGUGCGGGCGUUCGCCAGCUGCUCAGUCUGAGUAAUUAAUUGCGCCGUUGUCGUGCGAUAAUUACGAUCAACAAGCACCUUUCACUGCAGUUGUUUUUCUUUCUCGCAAUAACAACACUUGUCUAAUGUUUAUGUACAAUCACAUCGCGCCGUUGAUCGGCAACCAGAUCAGUGAGACUAAUUUGUUGUGGAUGCCGCGAUUGUGUUUCCACCGUUUAUGGUUGCCGUUAAAUUUUAUUAUCAGCACGGCUUCGUGAGUUCAUUCAUUCAUUUUCAUUCGCAAAUUCGGCAUGUACAUACAU